GACGAACGCUGGCGGCGUGCUUAACACAUGCGAGUCGAACGCUGAAGCUCAGCUUUUGUUGGGUGGAUGAGUGGCGAACGGGUGAGUAACACGUGAGUAACCUGCCUCCUUCUUUGGGAUAACGCCCGGAAACGGGUGCUAAUACUGGAUAUUCACUGGUCUUCGCAUGGGGGUUGGUGGAAAGGGUUUUUCUGGUGGGGGAUGGGCUCGCGGCCUAUCAGCUUGUUGGUGGGGUGAUGGCCUACCAAGGCUUUGACGGGUAGCCGGCCUGAGAGGGUGACCGGUCACAUAGGGACGGAGAUUAGGCCCAGAAGCGUACGGGGGGCGGCAGUGGGGAAUAUUGGACAAUGGGCGAAAGCCUGAUGCAGCGACGCCGCGUGAGGGAUGGAGGCCUUCGGGUUGUGAACCUCUUUCGCUCAUGGUCAAGCCGCAACAAUGGUUGUGGUGAGGGUAGUGGGUAAAGAAGCGCCGGCUAACUACGUG
rnacentral:rRNA from 1 species